rnacentral:misc_RNA from 1 species
UGAGCCAUGAAUAUUGAAUAAUGCAUAUAAUGGCCGUUUCUUAUUAUUGCUUUAUGUGCAUACAUGCUGGACAAUUGAGCAGCAGAGCUCACGCCCAAGAUUUAUGUUUGAUGACCAAAUUGAGCCACGUUACUUUCAAUUUCCCUGAUGUCCAUUUUAUAUACCAUUGCUCUUAGGAUCUGCUCCAUGUGAAAAAUGGGAUUUGAGUCCAAUCCAACACUGGUAAUAAUCACGAUCCACAAAUGGGGACUCAACUGCCCACAGGCAGAUUCUGGGGAUUAAACAUGAUUCAAACAUGAAAGCCAUUGUAUUGGUGAUUUUAUAUGGGACUGCAUCAUUCCCGCGUCCAAUGGUAGUCUCAUAUGUCUUCGUAUCAGGACCAUGUGGAGUCAUGCAGCUAUGAAGACUUGCACCACCUGGGAGGAAACCAUCAGCUUUUGCCUCGUAUGCACCAUAAAUCAGGCCCAUAAAUUCACUCAUACAAUUGCGAUGGUAAUAUGGAGGUCGGAAAGUAUGCUCGGCAACCAACCACCGGGGAGGAAAAAUGACAAAAUCAAGCAAUGCCACUCCAGGCUUAUCAGUUGGUGCUGUCAGAACUGUGUUUAUUGAUGGAUCACUAUGAUCAAUCAAAACAGUAUUAUAGGGGCAAAACUUUUUGAGAUCAUAUUUAUAUGGAACAUAAUUACCAUGCCAGGCAACUACAUUGAAGGGAGAAAAAUCCUGUUUUGCAGUAAAUAGUUCUCCACCAAACUUUUGUAUGAUAGUGUAUCCAGGACAAGAACCCUCCUCAAACCAGGCCUUGGGAACAAGAAAAUCCCUUGAAGCAGCAAGGCCAUUAGCACCUAUUGGCCCAAGAUCAGGAAGCUGAAAAUGGGCACCAAAAAUCUCAGCAACAUAACCACGUGACGGGCCAUCUGGCAAAUCUACAGCAAAACGGAACCCUUGAGGUAAAACAACAAUUUCACCAGGAGAGACUUGCAGCUUUCCACAUUCGGUAGUUAUCCAUAACCUUCCUUGCUGGGGAACUAUCAAGAAGUCACCAUCAGCAUUGCAGAAAGCACAGUUGUCCAUUGAUUUGUUAGCUGUGUACAUGUGAAUAGCAUAUCCAUGGCGAAGAAAGGAGCUACCAGCCCCACAAACUGUGUAGAACCCAUCAACAAAAUCAGUUGGGGAGUCGGGGAUAUCCACAGGCUUCCACCGUAGCUGAGUAGGCGUUGUACAACUGUUUGUCUUGUCAAAUUCGCUCACUAUCUUCCCAUGACUUGGAACCCGUGGCAUAAAUGGCUCAUGGGUAACCGAUGGUUUAAUUCGAUAUAGCCAACUGCGUUGAUUAAGCUUGCGAGGAGAAGUGAAAGAGGACCCAGAGAUCUGCUCAGCAUAAAGACCAUAAGGACACACGAGCGGGCUAUUCUGGCCAGCAGGCAAAGCUCCAGGGAUGGCCUCAGACUCGAAGCUGUUGGCAAAUCCUGAUUGGUAAUCGCAGUCAUCAAAGGGGAAAUCACAGCCAUCGGAUUUUGUGACGACUUGUUGGUGGCGGUGAAAGUUUGUGUUCUCCGUGAUUGUUUGAGUAUUCUCCAUGAUUGAGCGAGUAAAGGAAAUGGUGAAUC